rnacentral:piRNA from 1 species
UGAUUAACAAACUUGGAGCCUAUUUAUGC